AUUGAACGCUGGCGGAAUGCUUUACACAUGCAAGUCGAACGGCAGCACGGACUUCGGUCUGGUGGCGAGUGGCGAACGGGUGAGUAACAUACCGGAACGUAUCCGAUAAAGGGGGAUAACUAAUCGAAAGGUUGGCUAAUACUGCAUACGACCUACGGGAGAAAGCUAGGGACCUCCGGGCAUGGCGUUAAUGGAGAGGCCGACAUCGGAUUAGCUAGUUGGUGAGGUAAAGGCUCACCAAGGCGACGAUCCGUAGCUGGUCUGAGAGGACGACCAGCCACACUGGAACUGAGACACGGUCCAGGCUCCUACGGGAGGCAGCAGUGGGGAAUGUUGGACAAUGGGCGCAAGCCUGAUCCAGCCAUUCCGCGUGAGUGAAGAAGGCCUUCGGGUUGUAAAGCUCUUUCGCAAGGGAAGAAAACUUAGCCUCUAUCAUAGGUUGAGGUUGACGGUACCUUGAUAAGAAGCACCGGCUAACUACGUGCCAGCCGCCGCGGUAACAC
rnacentral:rRNA from 1 species